rnacentral:tRNA from 1 species
UAAUUAGCUCAGCUGGUAGAGCACUCGGCUGUUAACCGAUAGGUCGUAGGUUCGAGUCCUACAUUA